UACGACGUCGUUUUAGCUUCGAUAAACUCCAAGCACUCCGCUUUGCUCCCUCUAUCGCUUCCUUGCCAGUUGCCAUCGCUCUCCUUCGCCUCGUCCAGAACUGAUUCAUCGCUAACAGGCUCUUCCGGUUCACGCCUCGUUUUUUCCGUCCUCCGAUUAUUCAUAUCCCCUUCGAUUCGACUUUUCGCGUCCAAAUUCUAUCCGCCGGUUAUGUCUUCCGGCGGCUGUUCCAUCUGCACGCCGUCUCCUCUCUAAAUCCUCUUACAUUAUCCCCGGGAUCGACCUCGUCUCCUCCGCUUUCCUCUACUUGUGACUCAGCGACCAUAUCAUAGCACUUAGCUGCUGCUAGCGUGAGCCGUUAUCCGGCAAGGACUCCAGUCUGCGACGCCGUGGCCAUGAAGUUGUAGAACCAGAGCUCCAGAAGCCUUUCCACUCCGCGGAGCUGUGUCGCUACUACGACGAUUUCAAGCGACGGUUCAAUGCAUCGUCCGAGGCUAUGGCGGAAGAGCUGACGAUCCUACGUUCGCGAUCCGCAUAAGAGCGGCAUAAGAAAGGAGGAUGCGAGGCCGAUGCGAAGGAGGGCGUAGAAUGAGAAAAGGAAGGAGACGACAGCUCCUCCACCAUCGCCGCCGACGAUGCGUUGAAACCGUCGCUUAAGAUCGUCGUAGUGGCUGCGACAGCUCCGUGGAGUGAGGGGGGCGUUGGAGCCUGGCCUCUACACUUCCAUGGUGAAGAUGUCCAACCGCUGGAGUCCGCGCUGGAGAAUGGCGCACGAUAGCUGCAGUUUCUUGUUCAGUCGAUAAAUCGCUGCCUGUGGAGACUGCAGGAGACGAGGCAGAUCCGAGAAAGAAUAUAGAAGGAGAGGACAAGCAGAUGAAAUGGCCCCCGGAUGACGUCGCAGGCAAGGAUAAUUCCGGAGGCUUCCCACCUUUCCUCUGGCAGUUCUCUACAUAAAUUUUCUUUAUCAGAAUUGCAUCUGGAAGGACAAAAUCUCUGUAUUUUUCGAGUUCCAUGUCGUUACUAUUAGCUGCAUACAGAUCAUAACCAAGAGCAUAGUCCCCGGGAUUCAAAUAAUGGCCUAGAUGUGUUGGUAUGUUGAAAAUUGUAUCAUUCUUCCCAAAAUCUGAUACACGAGCCACUUGGGCAUCGGCUAAGAUGUGUUGGUAUGUUGAAAAUUGUAUCAUUCUUCCCAAAAUCUGAUACCCGAGCCACUUGGGCAUCGGCUAAUGCUUACUUUGAGCCCCCAGCAUUCACUUCAGAGUAAACAGUCCCCACAUCCAAUACCAUGUAUUCCACAAGCUGCCUACUAGAAAGUAAAGCCCUAAAGGGUGCCCUCCAAUACUGUUUGGCAUCCAAGAAACAGCGCUUCAGAGUGCUUACGCGUGUGCAAAUCACAAGAGGAUGGAGACUUCCCAAACUAGUCGCAACUUCUCUAGGGAGAAAUAUCAGAUCCUCAAGGCAUAUUGGGCAGAUUUCAACUAAGAAAGUGUACUUAUAAUAGUAGUUGUUGCUCUUGGGAUCAUGGGAGACAAGCUGCUGGCUGGGACCAAGACUCCUGCUUGGAACCAUUUUGCGAAUAAACUCCACAAAAUUCUUCCCAUGACUCAAAUCAACAAAGAAGAAAUCAAUACCAUGAUCCACUGUUUAACUUUAAUGGCACGGCCUGCAGCAUCAUGCCUGAGGAUGAGCUGCUCCAAAUGAAACAAAGUCCGCCUAUGGGGAACGUGUUUCUGGACUUGCACAGAAGCCAUCCACUGGUCAGGAUUGCCCUGGGCUCUGCAACAAGACUCACACAUGUGUUCUUUCUGAACGUAUUCAACACUGUAAACCUGCUCAAGGAUUGCUCCAUUCAGGACUUCUUUCUGAACCCUCAGCUUGACCUUGAUCCUCUUAAGAGUGAGGUUCAGUCCAAACAAAUUCAGCAUGAAUCAAUCUUAAUUCAAGUUCUUCAGCAUCAUCAAGCAUAAGGUCAAAAGCUGUAUCAAAACCAAUCGGGGUUGGAUCCAAGCUUUGGUGGCUGCAGGUACCGAUCGCAUUCAGGGCAGUGCAGGAGGGUGGCAUGCCUAUGCAAACCUUCUGUAAUAUGGCCUUCUGAGCUCAAGCACUUGACGCACAUACUGGCAGCAUUAGGUACAAUUGGAAUACCGCAUUUGCAACACAGAACUCUUCCAACGGUUGGAUGUCCUCUAAACAUGCUUGAUUCUUGAGCCAUUGCUGAUCAGGGCAAAGCAAGAAUAAGAGGAAGAUACGAUAAUUUUAAGAUCAUAUUUAGAUGUCAGGAAAGGACACA